AAGUCGUAACAAGGUUUCCGUAGGUGAACCUGCGGAAGGAUCAUUAACAAAAGAAAAAAGAGAAAAGUGAUGAUGAGAAGAUAGUAGUGAGUGUAUAGAGUGUAGUAAUAUAUAUAUAUAUAUUCUAUUAUCAUUAUCAUCAUUUUUUUUAGACACUUUGUGCACACACAAAAAAAUAUAUUUAAAACAACAACAAAAAUAAUAAUUUUAUACAACUUUUAACAAUGGAUCUCUUGGCUCUU
rnacentral:misc_RNA from 1 species